GCGUUCCGGCCGGAAGACUUCCGGUUCUUUCCAGUACCCGUCAUCCAUGAGAACAGCAUCCAGAUUCAACAUGACAAUACUUCCCUAAUCAUUUUAGAAAUUGCCUUGAAGCUUGGUUUCUUUGACGGCGAAAUGGGGGACAACGAACGGCGCAAUAGUGCUACACCUCUGUGCUUCCAUCAAAACAGCUUCAGUGUAAGCGAUAGAGUUUGUGAUUUACAGAAAUUUACCCCCUAGAUUUGUCACAUGCAAUUCCACAUAGGUAACGAGGGUUUCGUGCAAGUGUAUGUGUAUGUAUCCUGUUUCGAGAACAGGAAAAAUUACGCAAAAGCCGGACUAGAAGAGUUGGACUUUGGUCCUUGUCACGCGUAAAUGAAAGAAUGAAGCUGCGCAAUCCGAAUAGUUCGCAAUCCGAUUUAAUACGACCUACUGUAUUACGUGUUGGUUUGUAAAUUAAAUUUCUCUCGAGUCGGGGGACCACCACUGCUUUAAUACCACGAAACGAGGGACCACCACUGCUUUAAUACCACGGGCAAACCCAUCACAGGGUGUAAACUCAGAAGUUCUUUUCUGCAGAUUUAAAUCGAAAAUUUUUUAUCAAAGCAGCCGUGAAGAGAAAAAAGUUUCGUGUUCUUGGCGGAAUACUUCCGGUUCUUUCCAGUAGGACUCGGCAUCUAGGAAGACGGCAUCCCGAUUUAACAUGAUAACACAUCCCUUAUUAUUGGAUGAAGUGCCAUGAAGCUUCGUUUCUUUGACGGCGUAAGGGGGCAACAAACGGUGCAGUAAAGUUGUAGGAACGUUGGACUUUCAUCAAAACAGCUUCCACACAAGAUUCCGCUGAUAAAUCGGAGACCGAAGUUUGAACCGGAAUGGAUGGCAAGUUACGUUUGGGAUUCGACAUGUCUAACAUUGAAUCCAGGUUAGCCUCCAAUCCAGGCAAUUCCGACU